rnacentral:rRNA from 1 species
UACGUAGGGCGCAAGCGUUAUCCGGAAUUAUUGGGCGUAAAGAGCUCGUAGGCGGUUUGUCGCGUCUGCCGUGAAAGCCCGGGGCUUAACCCCGGGUCUGCAGUGGAUACGGGCAGGCUAGAGGUAGGUAGGGGAGAAUGGAAUUCCUGGUGUAGCGGUGAAAUUCGUAGAUAUCAAGCGGAACACCGGUGGCGAAGGCGGCCUUCUGGACGAUGACUGACGCUGAGACGCGAAAGCGUGGGGAGCAAACAGG